ACAUUAGCAAGAGACUCGUCAUCUUCUCUCUCUCACAACCCUUAUUAUAAUGAUCCUCAUGACUUCAUCUCUUAAUUUUCCAUUGAAUCUUUGAACAUUUCCAAAAGCGUUUUUUUUUCUUUUUCAUUUUGCUUUCUUGGGUUUCAUUUUUCUUUUGUUUUUAGGAUGAUAAAGAAGAAGAAAAAGAAGAAGAAGAAGAAGAAAUAUGAUCUUGGGUGAGCUUUUUGAAGCACCAUUACUAUGUUUAUUGUUAUAUGUAUUUAUGGAGUUGAUGAUAUACGAUUUGCAAAGAGAAGUCUUGUUUCAGGUGAAACAAUAUUCACCGGACGGCAACGGCGUACAUGGGAAAGCCAGGCAUUAUUUGAUCUUCUUAUGUUCUUCUUCUUGUCUUUGUUUUUCUUUUUCUUUUUUUCCGGAGGGGGGAAGUAGAGGGAAAUAGUUUACGAAAAGUGUAUGUAGAAUGUUUAAAGAAUGUUAAGGAAAGAGAUUAAAUAGCAAAGAAAUAAGAUGAUGGAGGUACUUUUAAUUAGAUCGCCAAAUUAAAUCAUAGAAUCACAAAGUUCAUUCUAUGUUUAUUAAUUUAUUCAUCCUUUUUUUUAAUUGAAAUUAAGCGCUUUCAAAGAUAACUCAAAUUUUGCAUAAUUGAUCGUAUAAGGCCUCUCUGCUAUGA
rnacentral:lncRNA from 1 species